GUGUUAGGCUGCUGGUAUUGUGCAUUUGAUAGAAAAAGAAAGAAAAUUAGUAAAAGUAUUAAAGUAACACCUGCACUUUUCCUCCUGUUUAGACUUGUCUUAAUGAUUGUUGUGAGAAACCAAGCAGCUGAUGUCAGGAUGGAGGCAUAAGAGAUAGAGGAAUCCUUUUUUGUAUGGAGGUGGAAAGUUCGUCAUCAGAUUGGAUACAAGGAAUGAUGGACACCUACAGAAGAUGGACCAGGCGGCGGCACCAGAUCCUCCAGCUUCAGGUAGAAAAUCCUCUGCAGGCCUUGGAUGCACAGAGUGCGGAGUUCAGGGAGCUUCUCUAAAAGUCUGGA